rnacentral:rRNA from 1 species
GGCGAACGCUGGCGGCGUGCUUAACACAUGCAAGUCGAACGGGAUCCAAAGGCUUUUUGUUUUUGGUGAGAGUGGCGAACGGGUGAGUAACACGUGAGUAACCUGCCCCCUUCUUUUGGAUAACCGCAUGAAAGUGUGGCUAAUACAGGAUAUUCCAGGCUGGUCGCAUGAUUGGUUUGGGAAAUGGUUUGGUCUGGUGGGGGAUGGGCUCGCGGCCUAUCAGCUUGUUGGUGGGGUGAUGGCCUACCAAGGCGGUGACGGGUAGCCGGCCUGAGAGGGUGGGCGGUCACACUGGGACUGAGAUACGGCCCAGACUCCUACGGGAGGCAGCAGUGGGGGAUUUUGCACAAUGGGCGCAAGCCUGAUGCAGCGACGCCGCGUGAGGGAUGAAGGCCUUCGGGUUGUAAACCUCUUUCGCUGGGUUGAAAGGCCAUGCUUUGGGUGUGGUUGAUUUGAACUGGUAAAGAAGUACCGGCUAACUACGUG